AAGUCGUAACAAGGUUUCCGUAGGUGAACCUGCGGAAGGAUCAUUCACACUAAGUCAGAUAUGCUCGCUGCAGUAUAUCUCACACCACUACAUCAUAUCACUAUAACGAGAGAUAAGUACAAGCACGCACGCCUAGUUAUGAGGUGUGUUGCUAGUGUCACCGGCACUAGCCCGAUACAAUCCACUCGUACUAGCUUAGCUUAGCCAAGCUCAAGCCGGUACAACAUUACUUUUUACCCUAUCUUGUCUAAUGUGUGUAGUCAUGGCUACAUGCAGCAGCAUUAUUACUAGAGUAUACUUAAGCUCGUGUCAGAUGCGAGCACGCUGAACAAGUGGUUAAUAACUAAAUAUAAUAACUACAACUCUUUGCAAUGGAUAUCUUGGUUCUC
rnacentral:misc_RNA from 1 species